rnacentral:rRNA from 1 species
AUGAACGCUGGCGGCGUGCCUAAUACAUGCAAGUCGAGCGAACAGACGUGGAGCUUGCUCCUCUUACGUUAGCGGCGUACGGGUGAGUAACACGUGGAUAACCUACCUAUAAGACUGGGAUAACUUCGGGAAACCGGCGCUAAUACCGGAUAAUAUAUUGAACCGCAUGGUUCAAUAGUGAAAGACGGUUUUGCUGUCACUUAUAGAUGGAUCCGCGCCGCAUUAGCUAGUUGGUAAGGUAACGGCUUACCAAGGCGACGAUGCGUAGCCGACCUGAGAGGAUGAUCGGCCACACUGGAACUGAGACACGGUCCAGACUCCUACGGGAGGCAGCAGUAGGGAAUAUUCCGCAAUGGGCGAAAGCCUGACGGAGCAACGCCGCGUGAGUGAUGAAGGUCUUCGGAUCGUAAAACUCUGUUAUUAGGGAAGAACAAAUGUGUAAGUAACUAUGCACGUCUUGACGGUACCUAAUCAGAAAGCCACGGCUAACUACGUG